UUGCCAUAGUGACGGUAACUGUGUGACCCCAAGUGUUGCCAUGGUGACAGUGACAAUGUGACCUCAAGGAGCCACUGGAGUGACCGUGUGUCCCCAGGGGUUGCCAUGGUGACCGGUGUGUCCCCAAGGGUCACCGUGGUGGCCCUGUGGUGUCCCCAAGUGUUGCCGUGGUGACAGUGACAAUGUGACCUCGAGGAGCCACUGGAGUGACCAUGUGACCCCAAGGGUUGCCAUGGUGACCGUGUGUCCCCAAGGGUCGCCGUGGAGACAGUGACAUCGUGACCCCAAGGGAGCCACCACAAGGACGGUGUGACCCCAGGGGUUGCCAUGGUGACGGUGACAUCGUGUCCCUGAGGAGCCACUGGAGUGACCCUUGUGCCCAAGGGUUGCCAUGGUGACGGUGACCAUGUGUCCCCAAGGGUCACUGUGGUGGCCACGUGGUGUCCCCAAGGGUUGCCAUGGUGACAGUGACUGUGUGACCCCAAGGGGUUGCCAUGGUGACGAUGACAUCGUGUCCCAAAGGGUUGCCAUGGUGACAGUGACCGUGUGUGACCCCAAUGGUUGCCAUGGUGACGGUGACAUCGUGUCCUCGAGGAGCCACUGGAGUGACCCUUGUGCCCAAGGGUUGCCAUGGUGACGGGUGACAUCGUGUCCCCAAGGAGCCACCACAAGGAUGGUAUGACCCCAAUGGUUUGCCAUGGUGACGGUGACAUCGUGUCCCCAAGGAGCCACCACAAGGACGGUUGUGACCCCAAGGGGUUGCCAUGGUGACGGUGACAUCGUGUCCCUGAGGAGCCACUGGAGUGACCCUUGUGCCCAAGGGUUGCCAUGGUGACGGGUGACAUCGUGUGUCCCCAAGGGUCGCCAUGGUGGCCACGUGGUGGUCCCCAAGGGUUGCCAUGGUGACCGUGUGUGUCCCCCCCAAUGGUUGCCAUGGUGACCGUGUGUCCCCCCCCCCCACCAAUGGUUGCCAUGGUGACCGUGUGUGGCCCCCACCAAUGGUUGCCAUGGUGACGCGUGUGUGGCCCCGCCUGUCCCCUCCCCCCCCCCAGCCAAUAAAAGGCUUUGACCCCAAA